GGGGAUGUAGCUCUGUGAUAGAGCACAUGCUUGGGAUGUGUGAGGUCCUGGGUUCAACCUCCAGCACACCA
rnacentral:tRNA from 1 species